rnacentral:rRNA from 1 species
AGUAUUAGAUAUAAGCUUGAAACUUAAAAAAUUUGGCGGUAUUUUAAUCUUUUCAGAGGAACCUGUCCUAUAAUCGAUAUUCCACGUUAAAUUUUACUAAAUUAUUUAUAUAUCGUUGUCGAAAGAAUAAAUUUUCUAGAAUUUUUAAAAGAAUAGAUGUCAAAUCAAGGUGUAGUUUAUAAUUUAGAAGUGAUGGGUUACAAUAAAAUUAUUUAGGAAAUAGUAUUGAAGGUGGAUUUGAAAGUAAAUUAACUUUAAUAAAUUU